AUUUACAUAUUCAAGUUAAUUUAAGUUGUAGUUUUUCGUUUUUAAGUGACGGCUGAAGAGGACUUUAGUUGGUCCUAGAACUACCUGAGGUAGAGGGGUUUUAGUCGGUAGGUCCGAGGACUUCUUCCUUGGGAAUCCGACACUACCUAUUCGUACGGACGGCUGGGUGUCUUUUGAAGAUUUCCCCUCUUCCACGAAC
rfam:Agrilus planipennis Contig73005, whole genome shotgun sequence.